ensembl:lncRNA
AUGUUCCAGAAGUAUUCUCUCCUGACGUUUCGCCCACAAAAGACAUACAACAACCCUGUGAUCCCGGCUAUGAAAGCCUUCAACAACACAAACCGAACAUCCACUGGAGCAAGAGUCAUUGUUUCCAAGACCCUGAACUAUCCUCUAGGCCUGGAAAGUCCCUUGCCAAAGAUCUCAGAUUUUCUAGCUCAGGUCAUCUUCUCUGAAACUUGGGUGGAGAAGGAACAAGGAAGACUAGCACCAUGUAAGAUAACACUCAAAGUAAAGUUGGAGGAAGAAGAGGAAAUCUGGCUCAUGAUGACAUCAGCCUUUGGCUGGAGUUCCUCAGUGGCCUGCUACUCUUUCAGUGACCACAACCCAACACAAGUCUCUGGAUACUUCAGUCUGCUAGAAAUCAGAGGUUCUAAAUCCAGACUUUGGGAAAAGAACAGUUUGGACCACAGCUCUCCAAAUUCCCCAGCCUGCCAGAAAGCUAGUGGCCAUGUUGGAGGCAAAUUCUGGGAUCUUUAGUCUCCAAAAAGGUACUUUUCCAAACGGUUCCUCUACAGAGCCUAUAACUCUGGAUGGUUAAACCAGUUAUUUUCAAAUGGUUAUUUUCAAAUAACAAAUUAUUUUCAACUCUAGUACACAAAAUAUUUGGAAUGGUGGAACAAUUGUCUUGAAAAUAGGAAUGGAAAGGAUAUUUAGGACACAUGGUUAUAACACUGUAAAGGAGUGUAUUAUUUAUGAUACUGGACAGGGAUUUUCAAGAUCUAGAACAGGCACAACUUGAGCCCCUCCAUGUGUUUGGACUCCAGCUGACAGAAACUCUGAUCAUUGAAGAAGUUGGAGUUGGAGGCCCAAGCACCUGAAGGACCACUGGUUGUGCAGAUCUGAUCUGGAGUCGAAUUCCUGCUGUGCCAUGAAACAUCUGCUGCCUUUUGAACAUGGGAAGAAAUUGUAUCGAUGUACCUGUUUUGAAGGGGACAAUUGCCCCGUCUCUGGGCAACAUAAAUAUAUUCUGUAUUUGGAAGCAGUUGUCUAUUUUGCAUACAAGUACUAUGUACACAUAACACGUCCCAAUCUGUGGAAUCUGGAUCAUGCAUUGUCUUUCUAGCUAUGAGAUACAGCCAAAUAUUAAUUGGGUUUGAGCAGGCAGUUUCUCUUGGAGAUGACAGGAGUGGCCGACUUGAUGGAUCAAAGUCUUGGUUCUUCAGACUGUUGCUUUACUCUCAGCAUAUUUAGGUUUCUGAGCAUGUUUUAGGCUUUGUACUGAGAACACACCCCACAACGAACCCAAUACUCUCUACGUUGGAAAGGAACGUCCCACCCUGAGCAAGUUGUCUUUUCCUAAAACUUGUCAGUUCUUACUGGUGGAGCAUACUUACAAACGAUCCCACUUUUCUUUGGGCAAUGCUGAAAUGAUGCAAAUUUGCAUCAGCACUCCAGGCAGAGAACAUGCUCUGAAGAAGUGCAGGUUGAUCCAAAACCCUGAGAGCUAAUUUUACCUGUUCUUAUCAUGUUUCCACUGAGGGAAAACAGGGAAAGGUAAAAUGUACUAUUUGUUUAAUACGAGCUGUUUUGUGUAAGUUCAGCUGCUGACCUUGUCAUCAGUCUUUGUGUGUGAAGCAAAUGAAAGCAUGCUUUAGCCCCAAGCUCACACUUGAAUGCUGGAUCUGCAGGCCCAUGUGCCUAAUCUCAGCAAACAAGCUGGCACAUGCAUGUUUAAAACUGAUAGGUAAUCCUCCCUCCACUUCACAAACCAGUGGGGAUUUGAUCCCUGUGUUACAGGUAGAAGUUCAACUAUUAUUUUAUAUGUU